UAUUAAAGUGACAGCAAAGUUUAUUUACUAAAAUUAUGAAUUUUUUAAACGGAAAAAUUUCAAGAUCAAAUUUUGAGCUCAUUUUUUCAUAAGAAACUUUUUACAAUGUUCUUAUCAUAUCUGCAAAAAAAAAAAAAAUACAAAAAUACAUGUUAACUUAACAAUAAGGAUCAAAAUUGAGUGUAUGAUAAUUUCUUAAAGACUAGAAAUUUAAUAAAAAUUAAGUAAGAACUGAAAUUAGAAAGUCACCUUUUUAGGGAAAAAAAACAUAUAAAUGAAAUUAUUAAACUAAAAAUCAUGUAUAUGUUAGUGGAUAAUAAAGUAAAUUGAUUUUUGGUCUGAAGUCCCUCCCUCCGUGGCCAUGGCCAGUGUUGUUGUUGUGAAGUCCAUUCCAGUUCCAGCUACUCCUCCAACCCAAAUCACCUUCCUCCAAUUCCAACCUAAUAGUAAUAGUAGAACAAGAAGAAGAAACUCCAAUUUCACUUGUCUCAAAUUCAACACUCCUUCCAAAUCCUCUUUCCUUCGCACAUCUUCAUCAUCAUCAGACCAACAAGAUUCUAACAACUCUCAAACAACACUGCAAGAAUAUGGUGAUGUUGACUACAAUAUAGGAGUUAAAGCUGCUCUUUCCAUCUUGAGAUUCUACAAAAGGGAAAUUUCUCCAAUCUUGCCUAGGAGCUGUCGUUACGUUCCAACUUGCAGUGAGUAUUCCAUGGAGGCUUAUAAGAGAUAUGGUUUUUUCAAGGGUACAACUUUGACUGCGUACCGUCUCUGUCGUUGCAAUCCUCUUGGUGGGUCUGGAUAUGAUCCCCCAAGAUGGUUUGGUGAGAUUAGACCACCACCAGAGGAAGAACAACUUGACGACGACAAUUCAUAAAUCUCUGGUUCCCGUUGCUUCGCCUUUUCCAGGCCAAGUUUGCACAUUGUAUUAUUCUCCAAAUCCACUGGCUUACUAAUUUAUGUGGAGGAUACCGUUCUAGAUGGCACCUCCUUGAAUGAAUUCCAAUCUAUCAAAUCCUUGCUUCACUCCUCCUUCAAGAUUAAAGAUCUUAGAUGGAGUUAGUUGGCAGUAACAGAUAUCUAAUUAUGAUAGUAUGUACUAGUUAAUCACGUGUACUAUCCUCGGGACUACCUGUAGUUUUGGUUGUUAAAUCUCGUGCAAGUUAGGUUGUACUUGUAUUGCCAGCAAGUGGGGCCCUUUAGGUAGGUGUGUGUUGACCAUACACUCUCGCUUCAUGUAAUGUCGUAUGAUAGGAUAGAGGUAGUGUGGUGAUUGACAAGUAUAUAAAUUCGGAUUGUAUUUAGAUUGAUUGAUGGAUUCACAAUUAUGUACCUAAGAUGGUCAAACAAUUUUCUCCCUUAUCUUUCACUGUUUUACUAUGAAUUGUUGUUUCUAGCUAACAAUUUGAAAGGCCA